rnacentral:lncRNA from 1 species
AUACUAGUUAUAAUUAACUAACUAAAUCGGUCAAAAAUUGCAAAUUAAAGUAUUAUAUGUUUUCAUUUUUUUUCUAAACUAAUUAAAAUAAAAAACAUAUUAGCACUAUUUCUCUAAAAAAACGCGUCGCUUUUGAAAUGGCGAUGAAGCUAAUAACCUCUUAAAAAAACCAUAAAAUAAAAAACAAUAUACAUAACACUAGGAAAUGACAUAUGCCGCUUCUAAAUGUUGAGAAGAUGAAGCUAGUGACCUCUUAACAAGUUGAUGACGGUGUAGAAACGAUGAAAUGAA